UGUGGGAGCGAGCUUGCUCGCGAUAGCGGCGUGUCAGUCACGAACCUUGUCACUGAUCCUGCGCUAUCGCGAGCAAGCUCGCUCCCACA
rnacentral:misc_RNA from 1 species